rnacentral:rRNA from 1 species
AUUGAACGCUGGCGGCAGGCCUAACACAUGCAAGUCGAGCGGAUGAAGGGAGCUUGCUCCUGGAUUCAGCGGCGGACGGGUGAGUAAUGCCUAGGAAUCUGCCUGGUAGUGGGGGAUAACGUCCGGAAACGGGCGCUAAUACCGCAUACGUCCUGAGUGAGAAAGUGGGGGAUCUUCGGACCUCACGCUAUCAGAUGAGCCUAGGUCGGAUUAGCUAGUUGGUGGGGUAAAGGCCUACCAAGGCGACGAUCCGUAACUGGUCUGAGAGGAUGAUCAGUCACACUGGGACUGAGACACGGUCCAGACUCCUACGGGAGGCAGCAGUGGGGAAUAUUGGACAAUGGGCGAAAGCCUGAUCCAGCCAUGCCGCGUGUGUGAAGAAGGUCUUCGGAUUGUAAAGCACUUUAAGUUGGGAGGAAGGGCAGUAAGUUAAUACCUUGCUGUUUUGACGUUACCAACAGAAUAAGCACCGGCUAACUUCGUG